AACGAACGCUGGCGGCAUGCCUAACACAUGCAAGUCGAACGAGACCUUCGGGUCUAGUGGCGUACGGGUGCUUAACGCGUGGGAACCUGCCCUUAGGUUCGGAAUAACUCCCCGUAAGGGGUGCUAAUACCGGAUAAUGUCUUCGGACCAAAGAUUUAUCGCCUUUGGAUGGGCCCGCGUUGGAUUAGCUAGUUGGUAGGGUAAAAGCCUACCAAGGCGACGAUCCAUAGCUGGUCGGAGAGGAUGAUCAGCCACACUGGGACUGAGACACGGCCCAGACUCCUACGGGAGGCAGCAGUGGGGAAUAUUGGACAAUGGGCGAAAGCCUGAUCCAGCAAUGCCGCGUGAGUGAUGAAGGCCUUAGGGUUGUAAAGCUCUUUUACCCGGGAUGAUAAUGACAGUACCGGGAGAAUAAGCUCCGGCUAACUCCGUG
rnacentral:rRNA from 1 species